rnacentral:rRNA from 1 species
UACGAAGGGGGCUAGCGUUGUUCGGAAUUAUUGGGCGUAAAGAGCUUGUAGGCGGUUUGUCGCGUCUGCCGUGAAAAUCCGGGGCUCAACCCCAAGCCUGCGGUCGAUACGGGCAGGCUAGAGUUCGGUAGGGGAGACUGGAAUUCCUGGUGUAGCGGUGGAAUGCGCAGAUAUCAGGAGGAACACCGGUGGCGAAGGCGGGAUCCUGGGCCAGUACUGACGCUGAGGAGCGAAAGCGUGGGGAGCAAACAGG